ensembl:lncRNA
AUGACUCAUCAAGUGAGUUCUUCAGAUGCUUUAGCCUCAGAUGUAAAUCCUGCUGUCACUGUGCUUCAGAGACUUUUGCUGAAACAAAUGGAUGAGGACCACGGAAUCAAAACAAUGAAGAACACUUUGCUUGAUGCUUUGCAGAGGCGCUUUUCCAACAUAGAGCAAAAUCCACUUUACUGCAUUGCAAAUUUACUUGAUCCGAGGUAUAAAGAUCGAUUCUUCUCCAACACAGAUGCUGCCAGUAAGGCCAAAGAAAUGUUGAUACUGGAGCUGCAAAAAAUGUCUGUGGAUAAGAGACAGCCACACCUGAGACACAUGACGCACCAGCUGACAAUAGGUCUCACAGCGACAAGCCAGGCAGCAGUCUGGACAAUGUUUUUGAAGAAAUUGCAGAUAGAUGUGCAUCUGAGAGCAGACCUCCAGCAGCCACCACCAUACAGCUAGAAGCAUACCUUGGAGAGACUAGUGUGCGUCGUUCAGAGAAACCCUUCAUGAGAUUUCCUACUCUGGCUCAAAUGGCACAAAAAUAUCUUUCAGCCCCCUGCAGCAGUGUGGAAAGUGAAAGACUCUUCAGCUCAGUGUCACACAUUCUGACUGACAACAGAAGCAGGCUUAUAGCUGAACAUGCAGAGAUGCUUCUGUUCCUUAAACUUACUUUUGAAAAAUAAAGCGAAAUGAUUAACAGCAUUUUGUAUUUUUCACAUUGCAAAAAUUUCUGCAAAAGUAAAAAAACAUACUGUACAAAUGCUCUGAGGAACCUCCAUAACUAAAUGGCUUAUAAACAUUUACAAUUAUUGUGUUGCUCACAAUGAUUAGACAGUUCACUAUUAUAUUUCACUACACUUUUGAUUGUUACUCAACAGUGAACAUUGCUACACAGUGUUAUGUUAUAAACAUUUGUUCAGUGAAAUUAGUUUGCAGCUUUUUGACAACUCUGUGGCAUUGAUAAAGAAAUGUUUUAUUAUUAUUAUUAUUAUUAUUAUUAUUAUUAUUAUUAUUAUGCCCUUGGUUUGGUUAUGGAAACUAUUAGAUACUGUGAAAAUUGUUUGUACUUUGACAACCUUGUGACAAGCAGAAAAAAAAAUGGUUUGAGUUACAGUUGUUCAUAAUUACAGAGAAGCUGUCCUAAAAUGAUUAAUCUCACUGUGUCAUUACUUGGAAAACUGCCACAUCCCAAAAAAAGGUAUUGGUAUUGGUAUUGGUAUUGGUGAGUACAAGGAAAAAAAUAUCGGUACUCAUACUCAGUUUUUAAAAAUCAUAUCAGUGCAUCCCUAUUUAGAACCUUCAGUGCUUCGCCCCAAUAAUGUUUCCUAUUAAACAAAUGUCACCACAAUGCUUCAAUAUCAGAAAGAAAAAAGGAGGAGAGAAAAAAAAAAAAAACUUGUACUGGCUCAGGCUUUUAGACACUUAUUAUACAAUCCUCAACAGUGGUGACAAUAAUUAUUCAUACUGCAGUGCAUGAUGGGAGAUUUCACUAUGGUGUUACCCAGCAUGCAUUGCAGCACGAAGCAUUCUGUUGACUGUCACUAUUGUUGAGAUUCUUAUGCUGGUUCUUGAUGUCUGUGUGUGUCUAAAUAGCACAAACUAUCACAUUUUUUAUAUGCAUUGCAUAUAUUUAUCAAUCAUUCACUGUAACUAUUAGUGCAACACUGCUUGCAUACUGAAGUUUCUCAGGAUUGAUUUUGCAAAACUUAAAUGUAUAAAUUAAUAAAAAAAAGUUAAUUCAAAUGAAGUCAGAAGAGUUCGUGAUGACUAUCUCAUCAUACAAACACAGCUAAUAGCUGAUCACUGCACAGUGUUAACUUCUCUACUUUACAACACCACAUGCACUGCUACAAAAAAAAUAUACAGCAAUAGUUACAUACUAACACAGGAAGUCAAGGGUUAAGAGUAGAGGUCUUCACAGUGCACCCGAGACCUGUCGACCCGGGACCCGACCCGGGACCCGUACGGGUUCGGGUCUAUGUUUUAAAUGUCCAGCCGGGUCCGGGUCAGGUCCGAAUCUAUUACUUCGGGUCCCGGGUCUGUUUAACAUUGUGUGUAAUACCCGUGCGAUCGGAGUCAUCGGACUCGGAGAACACCCGGCCGUGAUCAGACACUGCUUGUGUUUUUUGUAACUUGCAACUUGUAAAAUUAGGAAAAGAAAAGCGUGAAAAAAGGCGAUCUCUCUGUCUCUCUCUCUCUCUCUCUGCCGUUAGAAACAGAGCGCGCAGACUCAGAGUUAAUGCAAGUGCACGCACGGUAAUAAUGCUGGCAGACUUGAAACAUUCAUAUUUAAUAUAUUUCAAAUCAGCAACAAAAUCUGAGGUGAACUGUCACAUGAAUGUUUAAGCAUAUUUUAGGUUGAUCCAGCUAGCACGCAUGUGCAGUCUCAAGCGUGUGUCAUGUUUCUAUGGCAACCAGUGAGGGACACAGCCAAACCGUGCUUUACAUUUUCUCCCAUUUUUAUAAUAAUAUAAAUGAACCAUUUAAUCUUAAAGUUUUAGUGUUCAGAUUCAGACUCAACGGAGAGCGGAGAGCACAGAGAUGAUAGCAAAUAAAUAACGUCAGUCGAAGUUAUUAUCCGAGUUAACUCGAGUCAGAAUGUACAUGUGCACAGUUGCAUUUGUCAUCCAUCACCGUGACAUCAAGUGGACUUUUGAAGCUGAAAUAAUGAGUUGAUUAAGCUUGGACUUGGAAUAACAAGAGGAAUAACAUGGAUAACUUUCUUGUGGGAGGACAGUAAUGCAUCACAGGCAGUCAGGUACAAGGAAGAGAAACUACGGCUCCUUAAAUUAGGUAAGACAAAAAGUAAUAUUUUUCGCAAUAGGUUUAUUGACUUGUAAUAGCAAUUUAAGGGGGAAUAUAUGACAAUCGGGUCCAAUCGGGUCUAUCUUCCCAGCGGGUUCGGGUUCAGCUUUCAAAUAAUAGACGGGUCCGGGUAGACAUUUCUCGGAUCUACAUGGGUCCGGGUCCAGCUUUUGAAAUAAUAGACGGGUCCGGGUCGGUUCGGUGUAGUACAUUACGGGUCUCUUUCGGGUUCGGGAACAAAUUUUUGGACCCAUGAAGACCUCUAGUCAAGAGCCCAACUAAAGCAAACACUGAUCUCCAUGAUGGUGCCAUCAUUUGAACCAAUUAAACAUCAACAGUUGAUCCUCUGUAAUUCUCAAUAACAGCAGGUGUUCAUCACUAAUGCACAAUCAUCAUUUAAUUAGUCACUUAAUUAUCUAAUUAACUUUAACUCUUUGAGGACUUGGGAUUUGACUUGAGACUUGCUUGUGACUUGAAAGGAAUGACUUGGUUCCUCCUUUGGUGAAAUCAGCUGCUGAGUUCAUGGGUGGAAUAAACAUAUGGCCGGAGUUUUACUUUCUGACCCCUGGACUUUCCACCUCUGUUUUUAAUGUUUUUGUCUUGGCACUCUGGAAAACACAGGGGUGUAACAUUUCCGUCACAUGCUUGAGGUAUUCGGCCAAUCACAACACACUGGAUAACUGGCCAAUCAGAGCACACCUCACUUUUCAGAACGAUAAGCUUUGUAAAAAACGUCACAUUUCAGAAAGGCAGGGCAUAGAGGAGAAACAGUUUUUUUAAACUUAAAGGUGCCGUAUAUAGGAUUGACACCGAGGGGUUGAACUAUUGCAGUCCAAAUUCAAAAUAUUGGAGAGGGUUUUUUCCCUUCUCCUCAGACUUAACACACACGCAGGUUGCCAGAUUAAUGACACAAACAGGAACGAGUGCACUUGAUAAUGAAUAAAACUAAUUACGCUGUGUUUUUCGCCAAACUGGCAACCCAGAGUGCCGAAAUACAAUUGUAUACAAAUACAACAAAGACCAACGUUCCCACCCUAAACGCACAUUUUCAGAGGAGAAUAACUGACUGUAGCACUGUUUUUCAAAUAAACAAGUAUGUUAACUUAGCAUGUUUCUUAAAUAUCUGCAAACAUAUUAUGGCAUUUUUAUGCUUUAAUAGAGUCAAAAUCUUAGAUACAGCACCUUUAAACCGCAUAAACCCAUUUCAUUACACCAAAAUACACAAAAUAAUGUUCUUUUUAGCAACAUCAUAUGAACCCUUUAAACGUACAGUAUGGAAUUUUUGGCCACCAGGGGUCACUCAAUCAAAAUAAUAACAAAAGACGUACUCUGAUGACGUCGGGAAAGAGCAUGGGCUCAUGGGAGUUGUUGUUACUGUCAAUGACAACCAGCCAUCUAGCAUCUCCAGCAGAAAACAUGUUCACUGACGAGGUAAUUUAUUGUUAUUUGUAUUAUAUUUCUAUUCUUGUUACGUUUAGUUAUGGCUAUUCACUUCAUGAAAUGCCAUUCUAAUGAAAUUGCCGCAAAGUAACAUUAGCUAAUAAAACUGAAUGGAUGCAUAACUUACCUGUUUAUUAGAAUGCAAGCGAGUUCGGCAUCUCUUUGUAGAUUCAGCUUGUCACGAAGCUCUCUCCAUCUUGGAAAUGCAACUCCAAUAUUUACCUUUGUCUUGUUUCUUCUCUUGUCCCAAAACCUUCUCGGGUCAUUUAUUUCACCCGUUCGUUUGCACUUCACAGAACGUGCAGGCAAAGCAUAAUCAUGAUCCAUAACUAACGUAAGUGAUUGAUUGAGGUAUAAAUACUAAUAUAAACAAUAUAGAUAUAAAAUAUAAUAAUCUCGAUCGAGGCUAGCUACUACUUUUUCUUCUUCGUCUGUUCUUUGCUUCUGUUGGCUCUUGUGUUCACCUUUGUAUUUGGCGGUUCCGCCGUGUUCAGCAGGAAGUUAGAGAAACUAGAGAGGUCAAAGGUUAUAUGACGCCAUAGACAGGCGACAAAAUGGAAAUAAAGAAAAGUGCCGUGUCUUCUAAUUAAACUAUAAUUUUCUCCGGAUUUGAAAGUUCGUGGAAACUGUUGAGAUAAUGUAAGUACACAACUAAAAAAAAUAUAUAACAUAGAUAUAGUGAUUUCUGCUAUUUUUAAAGCAGAAAAAUUACAUAUUGUGCCUUUAAGGACUCAAAUACAGGACUUACAACCUUAUUCUGCUGCUGUGUGAACGUGGCUGUACAUUAACAUAUUUGACAACUAGAAAAAUGCAACUUUUCAGCAGUGAUGAUUUUGGUCUGUCAUAACUUUCUACAAGCAAAGUGAUCACAUAAACAAUUACAGCACUUUCAGAAAUGGAUUCUGUCGAUGUUUGUUUCCUAUCAAAUACCCU